rnacentral:tmRNA from 1 species
GGGGACGACAGGCUUCGACGUGGACGUUUACGUGGGGGCAGUUGCGAGUCGAGGUUGCCGGUCGGCCUCGUAAAACAACCGGCACAAACACAAAUGCGGAUGAGAAUCACUCGUUCGCGCUCGCUGCCUAGCAAAAGCUAGCCAGCGGUGCUCUUGGCCUCCCCUCGCCUACGGGGGAGAUGUCCGAGAUCAAUCAGUGGGCUUGCUCCCUUCGUGCGCCUCUGGCGAAGGGGGGACUCUUCACAGAGGCUGGUCCCCAGCAACCCCGCCGGCCAGGCGAGCUGAGGACGAGAUCAGAGGGCCGGAUACGCUCGUAGACGCUGCUCUUCACGCGGCCGCGGACGUGGGUUCGAUUCCCACCGUCUCCAUAA